AUUGAACGCUGGCGGCAGGCCUAACACAUGCAAGUCGAACGGCAGCACAGAAGAGCUUGCUCUUUGGGUGGCGAGUGGCGGACGGGUGAGUAAUGUCUGGGAAACUGCCCGAUGGAGGGGGAUAACUACUGGAAACGGUAGCUAAUACCGCAUAACGUCGCGAGACCAAGGUGGGGGACCUUCGGGCCUCACACCAUCGGAUGUGCCCAGAUGGGAUUAGCUAGUAGGUGGGGUAAUGGCUCACCUAGGCGACGAUCCCUAGCUGGUCUGAGAGGAUGACCAGCCACACUGGAACUGAUACACGGUCCAGACUCCUACGGGAGGCAGCAGUGGGGAAUAUUGCACAAUGGGCGCAAGCCUGAUGCAGCCAUGCCGCGUGUAUGAAGAAGGCCUUCGGGUUGUUAAGUACUUUCAGCGGGGAGGAAGGCGGUGAGGUUAAUAACCUCGCCGAUUGACGUUACCCGCAGAAGAAGCACCGGCUAACUCCGUGCCAGCAGCCGCGGUAA
rnacentral:rRNA from 1 species